AAUCCAAUCAAGCCUGGCUUGGUGUUGGGCGUCGGGGGUCCCCCGCGCUUCAAUUUCACCGGCUGGCCGUCGCCCGUCGUAGCGUUGUGACACACUUCUCGCUACCGACGGGGUCGGACCACGCCGUUAGAACUCCUCGAAUUUCAAUCGAAAUUUGAUCUCAA
rnacentral:misc_RNA from 1 species